CCUUUGACGUUAGCGGCGACGGGUGAGUAACACGUGGGUAACCUACCUAUAAGACUGGGAUAACUUCGGGAAACCGGAGCUAAUACCGGAUAAUAUUUCGAACCGCAUGGUUCGAUAGUGAAAGGNGGUUUUGCUAUCACUUAUAGAUGGACCCGCGCCGUAUUAGCUAGUUGGUAAGGUAACGGCUUACCAAGGCGACGAUACGUAGCCGACCUGAGAGGGUGAUCGGCCACACUGGAACUGAGACACGGUCCAGACUCCUACGGGAGGCAGCAGUC
rnacentral:rRNA from 1 species